CUGCCCAGCGCCUCCUGUUCCCUACACAAUCUCGCCGACGCCUACUUCCCAACCUCCGUCUCCCACCCUCUCUCCCUCCACCUUAUCUCCGUCUCUCAGACCCUCCGCGACAUCAUUUCACUAUCCUAGAAAUGCUAGACCCCCAAUCUCUCCGUUGACAAGCUCCGCACCCAAAGCGAUGUCAAUUCAAUCCUCGCUCGCCUCCACUGCCACAUCGUCGAGAUUUUGAUCAAGAGCGGCGUCCUCCUUGACGCCGACGUUAAGGUUUGCUCAGUAAUUAGCAAACCAAUGGCCAAUCAUGGGAUUGGGCCACCAUGUGUGGUUCUGUAUUUUUGUUUGUUCUUUGCGAUUUUGCUGGGAUGGGAUUAUUGCUCGGGUUGUAUGGUCAGGGGUGGGGUGGAUCGCGUUGUGGUUUGGUGCAACUUGGUGGGUGUGGGCGCUGGUUCAAUCGUACAAGUGUAGCUUCUUGUUGGUGGUUUCCCUUAAAUGAUACAGGUAGUUUGUUUCAGGAAUUUAUCGAGACAACCAAGGAUCUUGGAGUCAUUUUUGGUAGCCAAAUUUGAUAGCAUACUUGGACUUGGAUUUCAAGAGAUAUUAGUUGGAAAGGUUGUACUUGUGUAUUUCAUGAGAUUAUGAGUUUUUGUUAUGUUUGAGUCAGGUUGUGUUUUCAUCAAUAGGAAUUCAGAGAUUUUAUCUUGCUAUGUUUCUCAGUGGUGGAGGUGGCCGAGUUGAGGGGAUGGGGAACAUGGCGGGCGCUGGGCAGGAAAGGGGUUGGGAAUUUUUAUUUUUAAUUUUUAAAUUUCAGAUUAUUCUUAUUUUAUCAUUUUAUAUAAAUUUUUGUUUUAGAGAUUGGUUAGAAGUGGGUCCCACAGUUGACAUGUCAUCAAUUAACAUCUGAUUAAACGGUCAACUUAACAGAAGGCUUAAAUUGGUCAGAUUUGAAAAUAUUGAGGUGUAAAUUGAUGAAAUUGAAACUAGUGGUGGGCUCGGUCUGGGUUGGUUCUGUUUUGAGCUCAACUCGGAUACCGAACCAUAGGCCUCAAUUUGGCUAGUUUGGAAACUAGAACCAAACUAUAAUUGAUGAAAACCGACCACUUCAGUUAACCAGACUUGGUGAGUUGGUUUUGUUUGGUUUGAGUUUUUUGACUUUCAGAGAGAGAGAGAGAAAAAAGAAAUAAAAGCGAUGGAGAGAGGGAGAGAUGGAGAGGAGAAGAAGGAAAAAAGAAGAAGAGGGAGACGAGGAGAGGGAGUGAAGACAGACAUAAGAAGAAGGAGAAAAAAAGAGAGAGAGAGAGUGACUGAUGGAGACAAGACAGACGGAGAGAU